AAUUCCGAGGCUAGCAAUGACGCAAAAGCAGAAACCACCGACGAUAGUCCAAUAAACAAGGCAUAUUCAAUGUUACUUGAAGACUUAAAAAGGAAAUUCAAUUAUUUAAAUAAUAAAUUAAGAAAGAUAUAGUUAUUCUAAUUCAAUUGGAAGUUAUUUAUGGAUGGCGCGUAUAUAUAAUGAAGAAGAUGACGAAUACUGACCAAUACAAUCGUAACACCUCAUUCAGUUUCACCAUUCCAGUUUUUGUUCUUGUUCUCUAUACACCUCACUCUAACUCGUCUUCUUGACUCGUUCGAGUUAGGGUGCUUUCUCAUUCGUCAAACCCUCAAUUCUUCAGCUAGCCUUUUUUGCACUGCUCCAAUAUAUUUAAUUUUCCUGCAAAAGCAAAGGACACAUCAGAAUGAAGGCAUUGAUUCUGGUUGGAGGGUUUGGAACAAGGUUGAGGCCAUUGACACUUAGUGUUCCCAAGCCUCUUGUUGAUUUUGCUAACAAGCCCAUGAUUCUGCAUCAGAUAGAGGCUCUUAAGGACAUUGGAGUUACUGAAGUGGUGCUGGCUAUCAAUUACCAACCAGAGGUGAUGUUGAAUUUCUUGAAGGACUUUGAGGAAAAGCUUGACAUCAAAAUCACUUGCUCUCAAGAGACUGAACCAUUGGGGACUGCAGGUCCCUUGGCUCUUGCCAGAGAUAAGCUGAUUGAUGGCUCUGGUGAGCCAUUUUUCGUUCUCAACAGCGAUGUUAUCAGCGAGUAUCCACUUAAAGAAAUGAUAAAAUUCCACAAAUCUCAUGGAGGAGAAGCUUCCAUAAUGGUGACAAAGGUUGAUGAGCCAUCAAAAUAUGGUGUAGUUGUUAUGGAAGAGACUACCGGGCAGGUUGAGAAAUUUGUGGAGAAACCCAAGUUGUUUGUUGGCAACAAAAUCAAUGCUGGGAUCUACCUAUUGAACCCCUCAGUUUUGGAUCAUAUUGAACUGAGACCCACUUCUAUUGAGAAAGAGGUGUUUCCAAAGAUUGCAGCAAACAAAAAGCUAUAUGCAAUGGUUCUGCCUGGAUUCUGGAUGGACAUUGGACAGCCAAGGGACUAUAUCACAGGCCUGAGACUCUACCUGGACUCAUUGAGGAAGAAGACUUCUUCCAAGUUGGCCAGUGGCCCUCACAUUUUGGGGAAUGUGAUUGUGCAUGAGACAGCUAAAAUUGGCGAGGGAUGUCUCAUUGGACCUGAUGUUGCAAUUGGUCCUGGCUGUACUAUUGAGUCAGGUGUCAGGCUUUCAUGCUGCACUGUAAUGCGAGGAGUUCGGAUUAAGAAGCAUGCUUGCAUAUCCAGCAGCAUCAUCGGAUGGCAUUCAACUGUUGGUCAAUGGGCACGUGUGGAGAAUAUGACUAUCCUUGGAGAAGAUGUCCAUGUAUCUGAUGAAGUUUACAGCAAUGGUGGUGUGGUUUUGCCCCACAAGGAAAUCAAAACAAGCAUUCUGAAUCCGGAGAUAGUCAUGUGAGGCUACUGCCUUCCAAAUUCUUAGCGUGUGGUGCGUUUUGGAGGUAGUAAGUUCUCGAGUCUGAAAUGAAAUAUGUAUUCAUUUCAUUUGGUUUCCUUUUAUUAUUAAUUGCAAUCCUCCUUCCCUGCACAUUGUACAAGUCAGUUUCGUUAAGAAUGAGUGAUGCCAUAAUUUAUAAAGUUGAAAGGUCAGUGUCUAUGUAAAGAGUUGGUCUUUUGUUCCAAAGUUGUGUAAUUUUAAGUGUUAUGUACAGAAUUUUCUUAUUAUUUGAGGUCACAAAUUGGGAUUCUGACAGGUAAAUUUCCUUUUAGUGGAGCCGAUCGAGUGUUCACAUUUCUGUAAUUCUAUCGCUUUAUAUUUCGCUAGCGUUGGACCGCUGUGUGAUGUAGAUAUCGUUAUUAUCUUAAUAGAAAUUGAAAAAUCCGGGUGUGA